GCGCCAGCGGUCGCGGGCCUGCCCGGGGGUCGCUCCCUCUGCCCCGCUGCAGCCGCGCUGCCACCUCGUCAGUUUCUUUGGGAUUUGAGACUUAAUAACAAGGAAAGCUAGAAAGUUUUCAGUCUUGAUGUCCCAGGAGACUUUCUAAUGGGACUUAUGUGUUCAGAUGGGAAAUAGAUUUUAAAAUGGGGCAAAAAAAGGAUGAUUGAAUGGACUUAAUCUCUCAUAUGAUAAACAUAUUCUGGGCAUAAAAAGUCUAAACUAAAUAAUGUAGAUUGUGUUUUCUGUAGGUCUGCAUUAAAAAUCUUGGUUAAUUAUUAGAGCUACUUUAUUUCACUCUGGUAUUGUGACGUUCUCCUGUGCGUGACCGUCUCUGCUGGCCAGCUUUACAGAAUGCCUGAUUCCACACUGCGCGCUUAGGGCUGUGCCUGGCUUCUUGUGAUUGGAGGCCUGAGGAAGAAUAUCUUGCAGUCAAAAGCUUGUCUAACGUUGGACCAACUACAUAGUUGGUCCACUAAAAAAGUUUCAACUUUACAACGCUUGAUCUGAUGCGACACUACACCAGUGAACAAGUUCAAG